UACGGGGGGGGCAAGCGUUGUUCGGAAUUACUGGGCGUAAAGGGUUCGUAGGUGGCGUGCUAAGUCAGACGUGAAAUCCCUCAGCUUAACUGGGGAACUGCGUCUGAGACUGGCAGGCUCGAGUGCAGGAGAGGAACGCGGAAUUCCAGGUGUAGCGGUGAAAUGCGUAGAUAUCUGGAGGAACACCGGUGGCGAAGGCGGCAUCCUGGACCAACACUGACACUGAGGAGCGAAAGCCAGGGGAGCAAACGGG
rnacentral:rRNA from 1 species